rnacentral:rRNA from 1 species
UACGUAGGUGGCAAGCGUUGUCCGGAUUUAUUGGGUUUAAAGGGUGCGUAGGCGGUUUUUUAAGUCAGUGGUGAAAUACGGCAGCUUAACUGCCGAGGUGCCAUUGAUACUGGGAAACUUGAGUGCUGAUGAGGUAGGCGGAAUGGACGGUGUAGCGGUGAAAUGCUUAGAGAUCGUCCAGAACGCCGAUAGCGAAGGCAGCUUACUAAGGAGUAACUGACGCUGAGGCACGAAAGUGUGGGGAUCAAACAGG